GGGAAGGUAGCUCAGUGGUAGAGUGCUUGCCUUGCAUGCAUGAGGCCUGGGUUCGAUUCCUCAGCACCA
rfam:Dipodomys ordii ctg_broad_rename0010338, whole genome shotgun sequence.